UCCAUGGAGCCGGCCACGAUCAUGGUCGGCUCGGCUUUGGCGAUGGUCUCCCAGCCGACCGUCGGCC
rnacentral:sRNA from 1 species